UACGUAGGGUGCGAGCGUUAAUCGGAAUUACUGGGCGUAAAGCGUGCGCAGGCGGUUGUGCAAGACCGAUGUGAAAUCCCCGGGCUCAACCUGGGAAUGGCAUUGGUGACUGCACGGCUAGAGUGUGUCAGAGGGGGGUAGAAUUCCACGUGUAGCAGUGAAAUGCGUAGAUAUCGGGAGGAAUACCGAUGGCGAAGGCAGGUCUCUGGGCUGACACUGACGCUCAUGCACGAAAGCGUGGGGAGCAAACAGG
rnacentral:rRNA from 1 species